GACGAACGCUGGCGGCGUGCUUAACACAUGCAAGUCGAACGGAAAGGCCCUGCUUUUGUGGGGUGCUCGAGUGGCGAACGGGUGAGUAACACGUGAGUAACCUGCCCUUGACUUUGGGAUAACUUCAGGAAACUGGGGCUAAUACCGGAUAGGAGCUCCUGCUGCAUGGUGGGGGUUGGAAAGUUUCGGCGGUUGGGGAUGGACUCGCGGCUUAUCAGCUUGUUGGUGGGGUAGUGUCUUACCAAGGCUUUGACGGGUAGCCGGCCUGAGAGGGUGACCGGCCACACUGGGACUGAGAUGCGGCACAGCCUCAUCCGGUACGCAGCAGUGGGGAAUAUUGCACAAUGGGCGGAAGCCUGAUGCUACAACGCCGCGUGCGGGAUGACGGCCUUCGGGUUGUAAACCGCUUUCGCCUGUGACGAAGCGUGAGUGACGGUAAUUGGUAAAGAAGCACCGGCUAACUACGUG
rnacentral:rRNA from 1 species